ACAAGGGGGCUUGGCUUCUACAAGGCGACUUAGGCUUUUUUGUAAAGCAUAUGCCGCCUUCAAAAAUACAAGUCCAUUUGUCAAAACGUUGGAUCCAGGUUUUACAUUGUUCUCCUUUUGCUCAUCAUUUACAAUGUGGUUGAUAUGAGAGGAAUUCACAUUCCUUGCGCCGGUAUCCUGUUUGCCUCGCUUUAUUGCGUAUACGGAUCAACGUUUUCAAAAUUUGCCAACGAGUGCCAACCUAUGCAUUGCUUACGAGGAUAUAUGGUUUGCUGUUUCCAAAGCCACACACACUGCUCCUGUGGUUGUGCGCCGAGUACAACAUCAUGUGAAACUCUUUUUACAAAAGAGUGCCCCUUACCUCAAGCGAUCUUGUGUACUGGCAUAAAGUCAACCUGCUAUUGUAUUUCACCCUCUCCGCCAUAGAGGUUCCAGAAUGACCACUCAUUUAUGGCUCACCGUUUGUCACUGACUAUUAGCAACGGUAUUCGAUGGAAACACUUCGUCAAAUUAUGUAAUAAACUUAUUUUCUGAACAGAUU